rnacentral:rRNA from 1 species
UACGUAGGGUGCGAGCGUUAAUCGGAAUUACUGGGCGUAAAGGGCGCGUAGGCGGCCAUCUAAGUCAGACGUGAAAUCCCCCGGCUUAACCUGGGAACUGCGUCUGAUACUGGACGGCUUGAGUAUGGGAGAGGGAUGUAGAAUUCCAGGUGUAGCGGUGAAAUGCGUAGAUAUCUGGAGGAAUACCGGUGGCGAAGGCGGCAUCCUGGACCAUUACUGACGCUGAGGCGCGAAAGCGUGGGGAGCAAACAGG